GGAAUACUCACUGGAAUUUCAUCUGUGGAAAAUCCUCUCACGGAGCUUACACAGGGGCAGAGACAAAACACUUGUUUACCAAGUCUGAGGCUCCUUCAGGGACUGGGAGGCUGCAAUUAGGUCACUGCAGAACUUCUCCAGGCUGAACAACCCCAAUUCUGUCAGCCUUUCCUUAUGGGAGAGGUGCUCCAUCCCUCUGAUCAACUUGGUGGCCUCCUCUGGACUUGCUCCAAUGAGAUGACAUUCUUCCUGUGCUGAGGAUCCCAGAGCUGGAAGCAGCACUGCAGUGGCCUGUACCUGCAAUAGAGAUGUUCUGAGAGUGCCCAGAAGACACAGUGCAGCUCCUGCCCUUCAUCACAGGAACAGGACUGAAGAGGUGUGAUAAGAGUGUGGAGCAUUAAUGGAGCGGGAUGCUCAGUGCCAGAGGGGAGGAGGGAUACUUUGAUCAGUCACCAGGAUAAAAGCUGAGCUGCUUUACAACACAGCCUGCUGGAAAGUAGUUGUUAGAAAAACGUGUCUAUUAAAAGGUCAGGCGUGGUCCUGUGUUCUGGACUGACACUUGCACAAGCUGGUAAAUUAUACAUAAUGAACACCUUAUUAGGUUAAUUUUGUCUAUUUGGGGUCAUCAUGAACAGCCCAUUAGAAAAUAACAGGUUUCUCAGUGGCUGCCAAAUGCUGGUUGUUACUAUUUCUGCAAAUAGUACUGAAUCUGGAA